rfam:Aspergillus oryzae RIB40 DNA, chromosome 1.
GGCCGGGUGGCGCAAUGGUAGCGCGUUGGUUUCCGGUACCAAAGGUUUGCGGGUUCGAGUCCCGUCCUGGUCG